UAAAGCUGAUGGAAUUUUGUGGACUAC
rnacentral:sRNA from 1 species